AUUUUUCUAGUAUAUAAAGUAUAAUUGACUUCCAAUCAGUAGGUCUGGACUGCCAGGAAAAAUA
rnacentral:tRNA from 1 species